UACGUAGGGGGCAAGCGUUAUCCGGAUUUAUUGGGCGUAAAGCGCGCGUAGGCGGCCGAUCGCGUCGGAUGUGAAAGCUCGGGGCUCAACCCUGAGAGGCCAUUCGAUACGGGUCGGCUAGAGGCAGGUAGGGGAAGGUGGAAUUCCUGGUGUAGCGGUGAAAUGCGCAGAUAUCAGGAGGAACACCGGUGGCGAAGGCGGCCUUCUGGGCCUGUCCUGACGCUGAGGCGCGAAAAGCUGGGGGGAGCGAACAGG
rnacentral:rRNA from 1 species